rnacentral:rRNA from 1 species
UACGGAGGGUGCGAGCGUUGUCCGGAAUCAUUGGGCGUAAAGGGCGCGUAGGUGGCCCGGUCAGUCCGUGGUGAAAGCGCGGGGCUCAACCCCGCGUCGGCCAUGGAUACUGCUGGGCUGGAGCACUGUAGAGGCAGGCGGAAUUCCGGGUGUAGCGGUGGAAUGCGUAGAGAUCCGGAAGAACACCGGUGGCGAAGGCGGCCUGACUGGGCAGUGCUGACACUGAGGCGCGACAGCGUGGGGAGCAACAGGAU